CCAGAGAACUUAGCAGAGAUGCUUUGGUGCCUCGGGAACUCUGAGACAGGUGCUGCAUGGCUGUCGUCAGCUCGUGUUGUGAAAUGUUGGGUUAAGUCCCGCAACGAGCGCAACCCUUAUCCUUUGUUGCCAGCGGCUCGGCCGGGAACUCAAAGGAGACUGCCGGUGAUAAACCGGAGGAAGGUGGGGAUGACGUCAAGUCAUCAUGGCCCUUACGGCCAGGGCUACACACGUGCUACAAUGGCGCAUACAAAGAGAAGCGACCUCGCGAGAGCAAGCGGACCUCACAAAGUGCGUCGUAGUCCGGAUUGGAGUCUGCAACUCGACUCCAUGAAGUCGGAAUCGCUAGUAAUCGUAGAUCAGAAUGCUACGGUGAAUACGUUCCCGGGCCUUGUACACACCGCCCGUCACACCAUGGGAGUGGGUUGCAAAAGAAGUAGGUAGCUUAACCUUCGGGAGGGCGCUUACCACUUUGUGAUUCAUGACUGGGGUGAAGUCGUAACAAGGUAAGCGUAGCGAG
rnacentral:rRNA from 1 species